AUUAAGGAAAUUUCUCUAUUAAUUUUUCUAAUUCUUGAAUUUGUUUAUUCAUCUUAUCGUCUAUGUCCUUCCUCUUCUACCCUGAUUGAUUUUAGUUUCUUAAAUUCGUGGGCUUUACGUUUCUUAAAUUUGUGGGCUGUGGGCUUUACAGGAAAAUUAAGAAAUGAUGUGGGUGCAGGUUGUGCAAAUGGUGGGUGGUGGGAAGGUUUUGGAUCGGGAUCCCGUUUGCAUUCACUGUUUUCAUUGCCGUUUUCAUCAUGUUAACUUUCAGGAGUGGAAGAUCUUGUAACUAUAAACUUUGUUGAUUUUAAUUAUCAUUUUCUACACUUGUUGCUGCGAAGAGGAUGUCUAUUGGGCCGUUUUUCAUUAUGUUAACCUUCUGGAGUGGGAGAUCUUGUAACUAUAAACUGUAUGAGUUAUAGGCUUUGACAAGACUUGACUUUGUUGAUUUCAAUGAUCUUUUUUUGCAUAGUUGACUUUGUUGAUUUUAAUUAUCAUUUUCUAUACGUGUUGCUGUGAGGAGGAUGUCUAUUGGGUCGUGGAGCGAAUAGCUGUUGAUUAUUUAACUUACGAAUAGUUGUUGAUUAUUUAACUUACUACUAGUUGUUGAUUAUUUAACUUACUACGGAGCUUUUUUAUGUUUUAAUACGAUACCAUUUCUUAUCUUUCUUAAGUGCUCGAGUGGAAUGGUUGUAGUCUCUCUCAUUUGUUCCAGGAAAGUACAUGUGUCAGCCGUGGCCUUUGUCUAAGCAAGAGCAGUACUCAAUCUUCUUGUUAUGGGAAUUUCUCCACUGAUUUCUUAAUUCUUGAAUUUGUUAUCCAUCUUAUUGUCUAGAUCUUUCAUCUUUUACUCGGAUUGAUUAUAUUUUUCUUGAAUUCAUUGGCAUUUCAGGGAAACUAAGAGAUGAAGUGUGUGCAAGGUAUGCAAAUAGAGGGUGGUUUGCAGGUUUUAGAAACAGAGUGGAUGGACAUUUGGUGAAACCUUUAGUUUCAUUGUCUUUGCAUUCAUUAUUUUUUUGUCGUCGUUCUUCAAGCUAAACUUGUGUAGUAAGAUAUGCUAUAAAUACGCACUAUAUGAGUGAGAGGCUUUGACAUGUCUGUUGUUUGACUGUUGACUCUGUUUAUGUUGAUUGUCUUCUUCUAGUCGUGUUGCAGCAAUGAGGAUGUCUGUUGGAUUGUGGAGGCAAAAGUUGUAAAUUUUUGAACUUGCUACAAAGCUUUAAGUUUGAUUACGUUCCAUUUAUUAUAAUUCUUUUGAGCUCGUUUUCGAAUGGUUGUAGUUUCUUUUAUUGGUGGUCGCAGGUACAUGUGUCAGUAAUGAUGUUUGUCUAAGCAAAUGCAAUACUUGAUCACAUAACAUUAUGAUCAUCAAGCCUGUUAAGGAAAUUUCUCAAUUGGUUUUUCUAAUUCUUGAAUUUGUUUAUUCAUCUUAUCGUCUAUGUCCUUCCUCUUUUACGUUGAUUGAUUGUAGUUUGUUAAAUUUGUGGGCUUUACGUUUCUUAAAUUCAUGGGCUUUGGGCUUUACAGGAAAACUAAGAAAUGAAAUGGGUGCAGGGAGUGCAAAUGGUGGGUGGUGGACAACUUUUGGAAACAGUGUAUGGGAUCUGCAAAGAGGAUGUCUAUUGGGUUGUGGAGCCAACAACUCUAGAUUAUUUAACUUGCUAGGAAGCUUUAUGUUUUAUUAUGAUUGAAUUUACUAUUUCUUACGUGUUCGAGUUGGAAUGGGUGUAGUCUCUCAUAUUUGUUGUAGGAAGGUACAUGUGUAAGCCAUGAUGUUUGUCUAAGCAAGAGCAAUACAACUGAACAUAGUUUUAUUA